UUUUAAUUCACUUCGCGAAGGUAGCGGCCACAAUUAAAGGAAAUAAGAGACUCACCUCCCCGUAAACCUACAGACAUCAAAAGUUAGAAUUUGCUAUAUACAAGUAUAGCGUCACAUACCUUUACUUUCUUAGCAUCGCCACGAAUUUUUCCCCAACUGACAGCUUCAUCGGGUCGAGCACCAGCAUCACUACCAUCAAAUUCGUUGGCAGAAUUGAUGUAGACGCUCCAUUCUGCCCCAUUGCGCAUUAAGUUUGCAUUGCAAAUAUGAUGCUUGACAACACCACCCCCAAGAAUGAUGAUUCCAGACUUGUUGGCACGAACAGCAUGAGUAUUCAUGUUUCGGAUAUCUGCGACAAUAUCCAAAACUAAUGGACGAGGAGUCGCUUUGUAAGUAUGGAAAUAAAGCAUAUCACCAAUCGAUCCAUCUGUAAGAGCAGGACUAUAGAUAGGUAUAUUAUUCUUAUAUGCCCAAUACAAAACACUAGACUCAUCAUUGAUUUCUUUACCCAGACGACGGAUAAAGGAUGAAGGAGUCCAAUGAGUACCAAGAGUCUCUUGUUCCUCGACCAUUUUAUUAAGGAUGGGAAAUAUCCAUUCCUCAAAACGGCAAUAAUUAUCGUUUGGAACAAUCAAGUUACCGAUACGGUUCAAACCUUUGGCACGAAGAUUUUUCCCAUCUAAAUGAAAGUCGCCAACAUAAGUAGGGCCAAGACACUUAAUUAUGUCUUCUUCAACACCUCCAGCUGUUGUAACAAUAACAUCUACACAUUUGUGCUGGACCAGAUAGCGCAAAACUUCACGGACGCCAGAAGAUAUCAAGUUACUGGUGUAACCAAGGAAAAUGGUAGCACGAUCACUUUUCUCUUCGGGGGGAUUGGGAUCGCGCCAAUUUCUCUGUAACAAUUAGUAUUGCUCAAUCGAUAUGUGCCUAGCAGGCAUAAAGUAAGUCAUAUUUUUUCACAAUUUUAACAGAAUAGCGUAUGAAAGCUAAAAGAAUAUCAAGAAAAAAAAACUACAUUUUAAACAUACCAUCUCAUUUAUGAUAGUCACCGCAUCAUGAAGGUUGGUAGCCUGGAAUCCAAUUUUUCCAUACGACUCGACCAACUCUUCUACUGUUAUGCCAGGUCCUCCAGCCUUCUUUCUCUCAUCAUACUUGUUAAAAUCUGGUCCGACGACUUCAGUUGUCAAAUCACUAGGCUUUGAAGAGGCUACAAAAACGGCGUCCUUUGCUAGAGAUUCAUCCAUGGUUUACGAUAAUUAUCGGUAUGGUAAAUUUCUGAAUAAUUCCAAAAAAAAAAAAAAGCUUUUUAAUAUAUGUAAAUGAGUCUAUUUAAUGAAAGAAAAUCAAAUAUUAUAAGACUCAAUUCCCUUAGUGUAGAGGAGAAAAAUUCUAACAACACGAAUGAUUUAAGCAACAAUUUUGAUUUUUAUAAUUUAUCAAAAAACCCGAGAGAAGAUGACAAUUAUUCUAAUUACUCUCUCAAAAUAUGAAAAUUUUUAAACAAAAGGCUAAAAAAAUGAAGAAAAAAGUUUCCAAAGCAGUUUUCGUUGACUUUUUACGAUAUACGUUCCGGGUACUGGGUUUCGUAGAAAAUCGAUCUACAUGAAUUGCCUGACUUGAAUGAAAAUUUCCAUCACUAAAAUAAAUUUUGGAUUGAUGCGAUUAAAUUACUUGAUCGGAUGCCGACCAAAAGAGUUGAAUACAUGAUUUCAAAUGACUAUAAGCGAAAAUGCUAGGGGGCUUUACAUUACAAGUAUAAGGAAUUAUAACUGGUUUAAAUCUAAGUACUUAAAAAAAUUUUAAAGCAACUUUCAAAGAUUUAUUCAUCUGUUUAAAAAUAUUUCAGCAAUCUAUCGGAAAAACAAGAUAGUCAAGUCCAAGAAACCCACAAAAAAAUGAGUUAGCUGACACUAGGUAUUAAAACAUUGCACCAAAUCAGCAGGCAACUGGAGUUAAGUAAUUUUGAUCUUAAAGCAAUGAAUUUUUCAUAAAAGUUUUUGAGAAUACCAGAUGGUAAAUUCAAGAGAUAUGUGGCGAACAGAGAUAAGAGUAGUAUAGAAACAAUUAAGCUUGAUUACAGGUACCGAGUUCACCAAAUCAACUCACGAUUACAGUUGAGGAUAGUAAAAUAUUAGAAAGAGCAUAUGAAAAUUACACAUGG